rnacentral:misc_RNA from 1 species
CGUCAAUAUUUAAGUCACAAGCUGCCGGCUCACUCCUCACAACGACCGCAGCUCAUGUCCACGUUCAGACUACAACCCGAGAGAACUGUUUGCAAGAUCGAACAAGAAUUGCACGCCUACAGUGAACUCCUUUUGAUCUCUUCUUGGACCUG